UGAGACCGGAUGGUGCUGACAUCCUGUGGGC
rnacentral:piRNA from 1 species